GGUUAAGCGACUAAGCGUACACGGUGGAUGCCCUGGCAGUCAGAGGCGAUGAAGGACGUGCUAAUCUGCGAUAAGCGUCGGUAAGGUGAUAUGAACCGUUAUAACCGGCGAUUUCCGAAUGGGGAAACCCAGUGUGUUUCGACACACUAUCAUUAACUGAAUCCAUAGGUUAAUGAGGCGAACCGGGGGAACUGAAACAUCUAAGUACCCCGAGGAAAAGAAAUCAACCGAGAUUCCCCCAGUAGCGGCGAGCGAACGGGGAGCAGCCCAGAGCCUGAAUCAGUGUGUGUGUUAGUGGAAGCGUCUGGAAAGGCGCGCGAUACAGGGUGACAGCCCCGUACACAAAAAUGCACAUGCUGUGAGCUCGAUGAGUAGGGCGGGACACGUGGUAUCCUGUCUGAAUAUGGGGGGACCAUCCUCCAAGGCUAAAUACUCCUGACUGACCGAUAGUGAACCAGUACCGUGAGGGAAAGGCGAAAAGAACCCCGGCGAGGGGAGUGAAAAAGAACCUGAAACCGUGUACGUACAAGCAGUGGGAGCCUCUUUUAUGGGGUGACUGCGUACCUUUUGUAUAAUGGGUCAGCGACUUAUAUUCUGUAGCAAGGUUAACCGAAUAGGGGAGCCGAAGGGAAACCGAGUCUUAACUGGGCGUUAAGUUGCAGGGUAUAGACCCGAAACCCGGUGAUCUAGCCAUGGGCAGGUUGAAGGUUGGGUAACACUAACUGGAGGACCGAACCGACUAAUGUUGAAAAAUUAGCGGAUGACUUGUGGCUGGGGGUGAAAGGCCAAUCAAACCGGGAGAUAGCUGGUUCUCCCCGAAAGCUAUUUAGGUAGCGCCUCGUGAAUUCAUCUCCGGGGGUAGAGCACUGUUUCGGCAAGGGGGUCAUCCCGACUUACCAACCCGAUGCAAACUGCGAAUACCGGAGAAUGUUAUCACGGGAGACACACGGCGGGUGCUAACGUCCGUCGUGAAGAGGGAAACAACCCAGACCGCCAGCUAAGGUCCCAAAGUCAUGGUUAAGUGGGAAACGAUGUGGGAAGGCCCAGACAGCCAGGAUGUUGGCUUAGAAGCAGCCAUCAUUUAAAGAAAGCGUAAUAGCUCACUGGUCGAGUCGGCCUGCGCGGAAGAUGUAACGGGGCUAAACCAUGCACCGAAGCUGCGGCAGCGACACUAUGUGUUGUUGGGUAGGGGAGCGUUCUGUAAGCCUGCGAAGGUGUGCUGUGAGGCAUGCUGGAGGUAUCAGAAGUGCGAAUGCUGACAUAAGUAACGAUAAAGCGGGUGAAAAGCCCGCUCGCCGGAAGACCAAGGGUUCCUGUCCAACGUUAAUCGGGGCAGGGUGAGUCGACCCCUAAGGCGAGGCCGAAAGGCGUAGUCGAUGGGAAACAGGUUAAUAUUCCUGUACUUGGUGUUACUGCGAAGGGGGGACGGAGAAGGCUAUGUUGGCCGGGCGACGGUUGUCCCGGUUUAAGCGUGUAGGCUGGUUUUCCAGGCAAAUCCGGAAAAUCAAGGCUGAGGCGUGAUGACGAGGCACUACGGUGCUGAAGCAACAAAUGCCCUGCUUCCAGGAAAAGCCUCUAAGCAUCAGGUAACAUCAAAUCGUACCCCAAACCGACACAGGUGGUCAGGUAGAGAAUACCAAGGCGCUUGAGAGAACUCGGGUGAAGGAACUAGGCAAAAUGGUGCCGUAACUUCGGGAGAAGGCACGCUGAUAUGUAGGUGAAGUCCCUCGCGGAUGGAGCUGAAAUCAGUCGAAGAUACCAGCUGGCUGCAACUGUUUAUUAAAAACACAGCACUGUGCAAACACGAAAGUGGACGUAUACGGUGUGACGCCUGCCCGGUGCCGGAAGGUUAAUUGAUGGGGUCAGCGCAAGCGAAGCUCUUGAUCGAAGCCCCGGUAAACGGCGGCCGUAACUAUAACGGUCCUAAGGUAGCGAAAUUCCUUGUCGGGUAAGUUCCGACCUGCACGAAUGGCGUAAUGAUGGCCAGGCUGUCUCCACCCGAGACUCAGUGAAAUUGAACUCGCUGUGAAGAUGCAGUGUACCCGCGGCAAGACGGAAAGACCCCGUGAACCUUUACUAUAGCUUGACACUGAACAUUGAGCCUUGAUGUGUAGGAUAGGUGGGAGGCUUUGAAGUGUGGACGCCAGUCUGCAUGGAGCCGACCUUGAAAUACCACCCUUUAAUGUUUGAUGUUCUAACGUGGACCCGUAAUCCGGGUUGCGGACAGUGUCUGGUGGGUAGUUUGACUGGGGCGGUCUCCUCCUAAAGAGUAACGGAGGAGCACGAAGGUUGGCUAAUCCUGGUCGGACAUCAGGAGGUUAGUGCAAUGGCAUAAGCCAGCUUGACUGCGAGCGUGACGGCGCGAGCAGGUGCGAAAGCAGGUCAUAGUGAUCCGGUGGUUCUGAAUGGAAGGGCCAUCGCUCAACGGAUAAAAGGUACUCCGGGGAUAACAGGCUGAUACCGCCCAAGAGUUCAUAUCGACGGCGGUGUUUGGCACCUCGAUGUCGGCUCAUCACAUCCUGGGGCUGAAGUAGGUCCCAAGGGUAUGGCUGUUCGCCAUUUAAAGUGGUACGCGAGCUGGGUUUAGAACGUCGUGAGACAGUUCGGUCCCUAUCUGCCGUGGGCGCUGGAGAACUGAGGGGGGCUGCUCCUAGUACGAGAGGACCGGAGUGGACGCAUCACUGGUGUUCGGGUUGUCAUGCCAAUGGCACUGCCCGGUAGCUAAAUGCGGAAGAGAUAAGUGCUGAAAGCAUCUAAGCACGAAACUUGCCCCGAGAUGAGUUCUCCCUGACUCCUUGAGAGUCCUGAAGGAACGUUGAAGACGACGACGUUGAUAGGCCGGGUGUGUAAGCGCAGCGAUGCGUUGAGCUAACCGGUACUAAUGAACCGUGAGGCUUAACCUU
rnacentral:rRNA from 1 species